GACGGAGGGAGCAAGCGUUGUCCGGAUUUACUGGGCGUAAAGCGCGCGUAGGCGGCUUGUUAAGUCGGCUGUGAAAUCGCUGGGCUCAACUCAGCAAUUGCAGUCGAUACUGGCAGGCUCGAGUCCGGGAGAGGGAAGCGGAAUUCCUGGUGUAGCGGUGGAAUGCGUAGAUAUCAGGAAGAACACCGGUGGCGAAGGCGGCUUCCUGGACCGGUACUGACGCUGAGGCGCGAAAGCUAGGGGAGCGAAC
rnacentral:rRNA from 1 species